GUGGAUAAAGUGCUUACUGUCCAAGUGUGAGGACUAGAACUGGGAUCCCUAGAACCCAGCUAAAGCUGCAUAUGAUGACACUCAUCUUUAAUCCCAGCAUUCCUAUGGCAAGAUAGGAGGCAGAGCAAGGAGCAACCUGAAAAGUCCAAGAGCCAGCUAGCCUGCUCUAGGCAGAGAUGAACCAAAGAGAUUCUGCCUCAUACAAGAUGGAAGCUCUCUUCUGGACAUGGACUUGCCACACACACACCCUUCAUCCUGUAAUAUGCCUGCAGAGUGUGGUAGUCUCUCAAGUGUCGCUAGCAUAUGGAUUACCUCAUUCAAGUUCAUCCACACGAUGACUCAACACUGAAGGCAAUGCUUUCCCAUUGUACAGUCACAGGAGUUCUAAUCCAUCAGCCAGUUGCAGAAGCAUCAACCGAGGAGUGGCUUUCCUAGGGACCAUCAGCGUUUCCCAAGCCUGAGGUUGGAUUCAUGGUGGCUGUUGUUUAUCCUUCAACCUCCCUUUCCAUUCACAGCCAAGCUCUUUGCCCAGUCUUUUACUGACCUCAGGUGAAGUUAGAAGAAAAUAAACGCCCCUCAAGUCAG